CCUGGCCAUGCGAGACUAACCACGUUGUCCCUUCUUGUCAUGGUCCUUAGCCCUGCAGACAGGGACCUGUGAUUGUUGUGACUCCAGCAGGCAUUUGCAAAGCCUGCCAUGUUAUUCUUGAGUAUGAAAUCCUCACGACACAUCCCAGACGAUCUGUUAAGUGAAUUCUGCUUGCUGUAUAUAAUUAUAGACAAAGAGAGCCGCUAAUGGGCCGGUGUCACCCCGCGGAGGUCUGCGGGUGGCCAGGGACUGACAUCAGUCCUGGAUCCUCUGAUACUCUUAUCAAUGAUUUACGGGGAAAUAAAGGGCCUGCCUGUCAAGUUGCUCCUGAAACAAAGGGAAGAGGAUGCAACUCAGAAUCCUAAUUCAGUCCUCUGUGCGCGCGGAUGGCUCGACACUAAAACUCCAGGAAGUGGAACGACACAGCACCACAGUCCACAAGGGCAGUAAGUCGAGCCCUGGCCUGCGCGCCCAUCACAACUUCUCAGCGGAUCUCCCGUCAGCAGAGUGGAAGCCGAGCUGGGAGGUGGCGUCUGUGAGACUCCUAUCUAACAAAGACUCACAUCCGCAGUAAAGAAAGAGAGUACAUUAAUUUUUCAAAAAGCAGGAGGGGAAGCAAGUGAAUAGAAAAAUAGGCAAAUAUUUGCAUUCGCACUUUGUGAACCGGGCUCUCCGGACGCCUGUAGACGCAGGGAAGAUGCAGAGCCAAACGCCUCAGCCGGCGGGAAGGGUGAGCUGUGUCCCUGGUGUGAGCCUGGACUCUGCCAGGAGCAGGCAGCGGCUGAACAAAAGAUUUUCACAUGUGAAAGUCAAAACCAGCAGAAACGAGUGUACAGUGCAGGGAGUAAGAACAGAGGCAGCCCCAAGAUGGAGACCCUGCUGGGGGCUCUGGCGCUGUUCUUUCUUGGUCUAAUUCUGGCUACAGGUACAGGCUCAUCAGAUAAGACCCAGCCUCAUCACCGCAACCUCAGAAAUCCAUCCCAGCAACACUGAAGGGCCCAGCCAGGAAUCCAGCAGGGUGCGGACCUUGGCAGGAGGUGAACAAGCUCAGGAUUAAAGCGACUUUGGACCAGCAUGGACAAGCCUCCCAGGUGGGUCCUUGCAACAGCCAAGUUGGUUCCUGUCAGACUGUUCUCCCCAAGAUGACGACAGUCCACACUGGACCGUACACCCUACGACGGCUUUCUGAAGGCACUGGAGAUGGCCCAGCCCCUGGAGCUGAGCGCCACCUGCCCAGCACCGUGCAUGUGGGUCCCAGAUGCUAUCUGGAGUCCAACAGAAAGUACAUGGUCUUCCUGGGCAGGUGACAAGGCAGACAUAAACUCAGCCACAGAGAGGUGGGGGUGGGGCGCGUCAAAGGAAGAAAGGAAACAGACCGGAAGGAGCAGAUCCAGAAGUCUAAGCGGGAACUCUCCCCUCGCUGCCCCAGCCACAGUUCAGAGAGUCAGUGGAGAUUCGGGCUGUGAGGACAGAGGCUCCGUGGCCUGAACCCCAGGCUGAUUGUGAGGGUCUUCAGUCCAGAGGGUAGAACCCAGAUGAGUGGAGACUGAGGAGACAAGAAAUUAAAGUGGCUACUGAUAAUAUAUAUGACGUUAUAAAAGCAGUAGAAAAGUAGAAAUCAUAAAAAAAAAAAAACUGAGAGAAACACUAGACGGAAGACACCCAACCGAAAUUAAAAGUGGGAUGGAUGAGUGUCACGGUUUUUGUCUGUGGCCCCCAGGCCUCAUGAGUUUGCACCGUGCAUUUGUAAUGGUUCAUUGUCUAGUGCUUGGAUUGAUGGUGUCAGUGCUCCACCCACAAAGGGGUGGAGCCAGGGUGUGAUGUAAUGGCAGGAAGAAGGUGUGACUUGCUCUUUGCUGGUUCCUGCUUGCUGUUUGCAGCCACCAGGAACUGCACCCCAGCCAUGCCUGCUUGCCUUGGAGCCAACUGAGAGUAUGGACUGAAACCUCCAAAACCUAUAAGAAAUAAACCUUUCCUUUCCCAA